UUUUUUUUUUUGUGCUCGUGCUAACAGAGCAAAAAUGGCGUAGGGAGCGGAGGGUGAAGGAAGGAGAGGACCUUCUUCUCUCCACCUCGCCGCGUCCAGGAGAGGAGAGAAGGGGGUCCGCAAGUUUGAAGUUUUCCUAUAAAACUGUCGAGUCGCCUUAUGGGAAUAAACCUGGCAGUCCUGCAGGUGAAGAGGACCGCAGAGGAAGGAUCCCCCCCCCCGGCUUUUGUUUACCAUUGUGUGCGGCAGCAGCUCGCAGGAACAGAGGAAAUAUUUCUCCAUCAUUUCACGCUGAGUGAAGCCGAGGCUUGCAGGUAGAGAGAUGGCGCCGAUCCCGGGAGAAGACCCAGAACCUCUACUUCUGCCGAGCCCAAGAGAACUGUAGCUAAACUAACCCUCUUUUGGGGUCCUCACACUUCUCCCACUGCCUGUCCUGCUGUUUUCUGGGACACUGGAUAUCUCUCUCUCUCUUCCACAGCCUUCCCAUUUGUCCUGACCUCUUUCUGCAGCCUAAUCGUCAGUGAGGACCGCUCGCAACAUUUCAGAUUGACAAAGAUUUAAAGUCGUCCAACUUCGGACAUAAAAACUAUGACAUAAAGCAUGGUGUAACGACACCUGUAAAGAAACGGGUGAUUUCCGGGUGACGCUUAUGUAAACAUUCUCAAACCGCACAAGAGGUUAAACUAUGUGUUUUUUUCCGAAGAAAGUAAAGACACAACAUACUGUAGCAAAGAUCAAGCGCCUGUGAUACAAAUUAAGAUUCGUUGAUUCAUUUUCCUUUCUUCAACUACCUCAUUGCCACAGUAAGGCCAACGGGAUUGAGAGGAGCAUUUUCUGAACAAAGAGCAUGGCGCUACGGAGCACCACAGCGGUCACUUUUGUCUGUCCGUCAAUGUUUCAGUAUUGAAGUCAGGUAGUCGGCAGGAGAGCAGAAGAUGAAUAUCCUGUUGCUUAUAUUCAGCAUGAGUUUUGUUUGUUAGGAGGAUUCCUUAAACGUCUUGCCUAGGCAUGAGCUGGUAGGUUUUUAUAGACGGCACAGUAUUUCUAUAAAAAUCUGAAGCCAAAGUGGGUAUUAUGAGACAACUGCUUUUAUUUAACCAGUAAUAUUUAGGUCGCUGAAAACGUACAGCUAAAUUUGGGCUCCUAAUAAGCAGGGAAAACAGCAAAAGUCCCUGCCAGAUUACAGUGUGCAGCAACGUGUGGGGAAGGGGCAUGGCUUUUUCCGGCAUCUCGUUAAAAGCAUCUUAGUGUUUUGUUAAAUUCAGUCUUUAAAAUUUUUUAUUAACAACCGAAAUUUAUUUCCAUCUUGCUGCCGUUUUUCUGGAGGGGGAGGAGGUUGGUUAUGUGAUAGUGACACAGCACAGGAUUGUGGGUAGUUUAGCUGAAGCAGAGAAUGAGCGAAGUUGGCGGUAAAUUAUCGGUUAUCGGCCAAAAUGGCAGUAUUAAUAUCGGGUAUUGGUAUCAGCACAAAAGUUCACUUCGGUGCAUCCCUGCUUCGGACCUUGAUGCUAAUAUCAUGCCUAGCCGUGUCUGCGUAGCAUCAAGAGUUUACAUCUCACGCUUCUUGCAGCUUAUAAAUGGUUUCCCCUUUCAAUUUUAUUUUAAUUUUUUGGCCAUGUACAUGUAAAGGGAAAACAACAACAACAACAUAAUUACAUUUUACUGGGAUCUGUGCAAUAUUUGAUCUUAACUGUCAUGUUGUUGACCAAACUGUAUAUUGUAUAAAACAAGUGACAAGUUGUUUGAAAGCAACAAAAUCACCAAUGUCUUCCAUUAAGAUAUGUAUAGACUCAUGUGCGUUAGCUUAUUUAGCGGGACUGUGGUGCCAAAAAACACCAUAGCAGCCAUGCAUGACCAGUAGUAAUGCUUGCUUCAUCAAGAGUAUCGAUUUGUAGGCCGAGCUGAAGCUCAAAUCUGUGGAGUCCAUUUCAGUAAAAACUAGCCUCACAUACUUAAAAAACCUCUAGGUACGUCAAAUUUAGAUACCGCUUUAACCUCAAAUCUAGUGCUUGAGCUCUGUUUUAAGGCAUGUAUAUGCUAGUAGGAAAUAUAUAGCAUGACACAGUUGGGAUACACCAUUACAAAGAGGUGCACCAAUCACGAUUUUGUGGCUUUUGUACGUCUUUGACGUGCCAACGUCGAUUUUAAUCUUUUAUGACUUCUCUUGAACUGUAACGCGAGAAAAUAUAACGGCAUUCAAAAUAUUUUAUUUCUAGUCGUCCUGUCGUGAUUGGAGAUCGAUUGUGUAUAGUAAGAGCCGAGGCAGUGUCACAUUGUCUGUGAAAGAGGAGUCGCUGUAGAAUAGGGUUUGCAAGUAUUUUAAAGUGCAGUUUAAGGAUGUCUAAUUUUAGCUCUUACCAUCGUUAGCGCAGCUAGCAUUAAAGAAACAGCAUCAGUUGUAUGUAUUACUCAUAGAGAGCGUAGAUUCUUACACCAGCUCUUAAGGAUAAGAUAGCAACCUUGCUCUACUCUGUUCAGCCUUCCUGUUUUCCGCUGAAGUCUGGCUCUCUCUCGCCGGACUGCAGCCGUUGAGAGAGCUGUGAACUAUGAAUGAGUCUCAGACUGAGGUUGCAUUUCCAUGAACCAUAUAAUUGCGCAAUUUGGCAUUUUGAAAAUAAAUUUGCUUAGUGGAAACACGGCACUUUCAGAGAAGUUGGUUUUUCGAUAGAAAAUAUUGUCUCUAGGAAGAAGCGGCGUUUUGGCCGUAGAGAAACUGGUUUAUUUUGCAAAACUGCAAUGGAAAUACUUUUUCAAAUCACCCAAGUCAUGUGAUCAACAACCGGAUGAACAAACUUAUUCACAUGUGAUAUUAAUUGCAUUUCAUAUUUAAUGGAAACUUUAAAAAAAUAUAUAUAUAUUAGCAUAAUAUCAACAAAAUUUUGUGCACAUUUGGAAUGGAAACGUAGCUUAUGGUGAAUUCGCUGGCUGGAAAGAGUUUGAAUUUUCCAAAAGCGGAUCUCUUGGUGCACCUCUACGCGUUUUAAUGUUUGUUUUGUGUUUUAUACUACAUUGUAGUCUGUAAAGGUUUAACAUGAGAGCCAAAAACUUUCUUCGAGUACCUAGUCUCAGAUGGGACAAUCUUUACAUAAAUGAUUUAGGAGGAGGAGCUUAAAUACCCAACUCAGCAUCUUGCAUAGGGCGAUGCUGUUUCAGUCCUCGUUGUGAAAUUGUACAAGUGACCUCAUAGUUUUGGGAUUCAGAGCGUUCUAUUUUAAUCCACAUAAUUGUAUUUAAUUAGAUUUUUUUUUAGAAGCAAUAACCUGAAAUAAUGCAUGAAUAUAGCUCCAGGAGUUGGUGUUAAAAGGAUUGUGUUGACAUCUCAUUGAAAAUCCCCCCUUUCCCUUGCUAUGCCUUUGAACUAUAGGUGUUAGCCACCUAUUUCCUUUUAUUGUGUCUUUGCUUUUUAGCCUCAUUUAGUUUUAGUCGUUAUUGAACACGGAAAAGGCUUUAAAUUUGAACUCUUGUAGCAUCCACAAAGACCCUCUCCUCGUCUGCCAGUUGCAGGCUUGAGAAUAAACGCGGCUGCAAAGAACCGGCCGAACGACGCUGGCGUGAAAAAGCACUUUCUCUCCACGUACCGACUUGCACCGCCCAUCGUCACCGUCGCGUCUUGAAUGCUGUGUUCAGGCAACCCUGUAAUGUUCUUUCUGGUGAUUUAUAAUCCCGAUUUAUGAGCAAGUAGACGUCCAGGUGAUAUGAAUUUUGUGGGUUUAAAAAAAAAUAAAAUAUGCAUGAUUUAGCAGAAUAACGAAUGAAUUGUAUU